GCAUAGCCGAGUUGAGAGACUGAUCGGCCACAAUGGAACUGAGACACGGUCCAUACUCCUACGGGAGGCAGCAGUAGGGAAUCUUCCACAAUGGGCGCAAGCCUGAUGGAGCAACACCGCGUGAGUGAAGAAGGGUUUCGGCUCGUAAAGCUCUGUUGUUGGAGAAGAACGUGCGUGAGAGUAACUGUUCAUGCAGUGACGGUAUCCAACCAGAAAGUCACGGCUAACUACGUGCCAGCAGCCGCGGUAAUACGUAGGUGGCAAGCGUUAUCCGGAUUUAUUGGGCGUAAAGCGAGCGCAGGCGGUUGCUUAGGUCUGAUGUGAAAGCCUUCGGCUUAACCGAAGAAGUGCAUCGGAAACCGGGCGACUUGAGUGCAGAAGAGGACAGUGGAACUCCAUGUGUAGCGGUGGAAUGCGUAGAUAUAUGGAAGAACACCAGUGGCGAAGGCGGCUGUCUGGUCUGCAACUGACGCUGAGGCUCGAAAGCAUGGGUAGCGAACAGGAUUAGAUACCCUGGUAGUCCAUGCCGUA
rnacentral:rRNA from 1 species